GAUGAACGCUGGCGGCUUGCCUAAUACAUGCAAGUCGAGCGAACAGACGAGGAGCUUGCUCCUCUGACGUUAGCGGCGGACGGGUGAGUAACACGUGGAUAACCUACCUAUAAGACUGGGAUAACUUCGGGAAACCGGAGCUAAUACCGGAUAAUAUAUUGAACCGCAUGGUUCAAUAGUGAAAGACGGUUUUGCUGUCACUUAUAGAUGGAUCCGCGCCGCAUUAGCUAGUUGGUAAGGUAACGGCUUACCAAGGCAACGAUGCGUAGCCGACCUGAGAGGGUGAUCGGCCACACUGGAACUGAGACACGGUCCAGACUCCUACGGGAGGCAGCAGUAGGGAAUCUUCCGCAAUGGGCGAAAGCUUGACGGAGCAACGCCGCGUGAGUGAUGAAGGUCUUCGGAUCGUAAAACUCUGUUAUUAGGGAAGAACAAAUGUGUAAGUAACUAUGCACGUCUUGACGGUACCUAAUCAGAAAGCCACGGCUAACUACGUG
rnacentral:rRNA from 1 species